AAGUAAGAAGCGAUUUAUUGCAAUCAAUUUCGACUUGAUCCUAGAUGUAUUCAUCCUUACUUG
rnacentral:tRNA from 2 species